GAGUUUGAUCGUGGCUCAGAUUGAACGCUGGCGGCAUGCCUUACACAUGCAAGUCGAACGGCAGCACGGGAGCUUGCUCCUGGUGGCGAGUGGCGAACGGGUGAGUAAUGCAUCGGAACGUAUCCUGGAGUGGGGGAUAACGUAGCGAAAGUUACGCUAAUACCGCAUAUUCUGUGAGCAGGAAAGCGGGGGACCUUCGGGCCUCGCGCUCUUGGAGCGGCCGAUGUCGGAUUAGCUAGUUGGUGAGGUAAAGGCUCACCAAGGCGACGAUCCGUAGCAGGUCUGAGAGGAUGAUCUGCCACACUGGAACUGAGACACGGUCCAGACUCCUACGGGAGGCAGCAGUGGGGAAUUUUGGACAAUGGGGGCAACCCUGAUCCAGCCAUGCCGCGUGAGUGAAGAAGG
rnacentral:rRNA from 2 species